CUCCAACUUCCGGUCGCGAGAGGCUUGUCGGGGACCCUGACUCGGGAAUCCAGCUCCGGGCGGCCCCACCAGACCGGGACUCGGAGGCCCGGGAGCCUGGAGAUGAGCAGCGAUGACUCCUCUCUUAUGGCUGGGAUCAUUUACUAUAGCCAGGAGCAGUAUUUCCGUCAUGUGCAGCAGGCCGCAGCCUCGGGCCUGGAAAAAUUCAGCAAUGACCCCGUCCUGCAGUUCUUUAAAAUCUACGGGAUCCUCAGGGAAGAGCACAUCCAGGAUGCCAUUAGCAACCUGGAGAGCAUCCGGAAUCAUCCAGACGUGUCCUUGUGCUCCAUCAUGGCCCUCAUUUAUGCUCACAAGUGCUGCGAAACCAUUGACCGAGAAGCCAUUCAGGAGCUGGAGAGCAGCCUGAAGGAAAUCCGCAAGACAGCCAGCGCAAGGGCCAUGUACUACGCCGGCCUCUUCCUCUGGCUCAUGGGGCGCCACGACAAGGCCAGGGAGUACGUCGACCGCACCCUGAAGCUCUCCAGCAGCUCCAGAGAGGGCUAUGUGCUCCGAGGCUGGGUGGACCUCACCUCAGACAAGCCCCAUACCCUGAAGAAAUCCAUCAAGUACCUGGAACAAGGAAUGCAGGACAGCAAAGAUGUGCUGGGGCUGAUGGGAAAGGCGACCUACUUCAUGUUGCAGCAGAACUACUCGGGGGCACUGGAGGUGGUGAACCAGAUCACUGUCACCUCGGGGAGCUUCCUGCCUGCCCUGGUCCUAAAAAUGCGGCUGUUCUUGGCUCGACAGGACUGGGAGCAGACAGUCGAAAUGGGACACAGAAUUUUAGAAAAUGAUGAGUAUAAUAUCGAUGCCUGCCAAAUCCUAGCCAUGCAUGAGCUUGCAAGAGAAGGAAACAUGACCACAGCUACCAACCAUGUUAGAAAUCUGAUUAAGGCACUGGAAACAAGGGAGCCUCAAAAUCCAAGCCUCCAUCUUAAAAAAAUUCUUGUGAUUAGCAGGCUGUGUGGGAAACACCAGGCGAUUCUCCGGCUGGUGUGCCCCUUCAUGGAGCGUGCAUUCGUGGCCACACCCUCCUAUGCCCAGGUGGCCACAGAGCUGGGCUACCUCUUCAUCCUGCAUGACCAAGUGAGGGAAGCGUCUCGGUGGUACUCGGAGGCCUUGAAACUGGAUGGGAGCAGUGUGGCUGCCUUAACAGGGAUCAUCUGGUGCCAGAUCCUGGACGGCCACCUGGAAGAGGCAGAGCACCAGCUGGAAUUCCUGAAGGAGGUGCAGCAGUCCCUUGGGAAGUCUGAGGUGCUGCUUUUCCUCCAGGCCCUCCUGGCAUCCCGCAAGCACACAGGAGAGCAGGAAGUCACUGCCCUCCUGAAGGAGGUCGCAGAGCUGCACUUCUCCAGCAUGCAGGGCCUCCCCCUAGGCUCUGAGUACUUCGAAAGACUGGACCCCCUCUUCCUGGUCUGCCUCGCCAAGGAGUACUUGUUCUUCUGCCCCAAGCAGCCCCGGUCGCCAGGACAGAUUGUGUCUCCGCUCCUUAAACAAGUCGCCAUGAUCCUGACUCCUGUAAUCAAAGCAGCACCAGCGCUGAUCGAUGCACUGUAUGUGAUGGCUCAGGUCAAGUACCUCUCAGGAGAGUUAGAGAAUGCCCAGAGCACCCUGCAACGCUGCUUGGAGCUGGACCCUACCUCCGUGGAUGCCCACCUCCUCAUGUCCCACAUCUAUCUGGCACAGGGCAAUUUCACCAUGUGUUCCCACUGCUUAGAGCUAGGCGUCAGCCACAACUUCCAGGUCCGAGACCACCCCCUCUACCACUACAUCAAGGCCAGGGCCCUCAACAAGUCUGGGAACUAUCCAGAAGCCAUAAAGACCCUGAAAAUGAUCAUAAAAUUACCAACUCGGAAGACAGAAGGAGGCAAGAAGUUCCACGGGCCCUCUGUACAGCCCAGCGAGCGGGUGUCCAUCUUACUGGAACUGGCAGAUGCCCUCCGGAUGAAUGGGGAGCUGCAUGAGGCCACUAAGAUCAUGCAGGACGCCAUCAAUGAGUUCAGCGGCACACCAGAGGAGAUCCGCAUCACCAUCGCCAACGUGGACUUGGCCCUGAGCAAGGGGAAUGUGGACAUGGCACUGAGCAUGCUGAGGAACAUCACGCCCAAGCAACCCUGCUACACAGAAGCCAAGGAGAAGAUGGCCAACAUCUACCUGCAGACCCGCAAAGACACCCGCCUCUACAUAGGCUGUUACCGGGAACUCUGUGAACAUCUGCCUGGUCCCCACACCAGCCUGCUAUUGGGUGAUGCUUUCAUGAACAUUCAGGAGCCUGAGAAGGCCUUGGAGGUUUAUGACGAGGCCUAUAGAAAGAACCCACACGAUGCAUCCCUCGUCAGCAGGAUUGGGCAAGCCUAUGUGAAAACCCACCAAUAUACCAAGGCAAUUAAUUAUUAUGAGGCCGCCCAGAAGAUCAGUGGACAGGACUUUCUGUGCUGUGAUCUGGCUGAGCUGCUCCUGAAGUUAAAGAAAUUCAGCAAGGCAGAGAAAGUUCUGAAACAAGCACUGGAACAUGACUCUGUCAAGGACAUCCCAUCCAUGAUGAAUGAUGUCAAGUGCUUGCUUUUGCUGGCAAAGGUUUACAAGAGUCAUAAAAAAGAGGACGUGAUGGGAACUUUGAAUGAGGCCAUGGACCUCCAGUCUCGGAUCUUGAAGCGUGUUCCACUGGAGCAACCAGAAAUGAUCCCCUCCCAGAAGCAACUGGCAGCCUCCAUCUGUGUCCAGUUUGGGGAGCACUACCUGGCAGAGAAGGAGUUUGCCAAGGCAGUGCGGUCUUAUAAGGAUGCCCUCUUCUACUCGCCCUUUGACAAUAAGGUGGUGCUGGAGCUGGCGCGACUCUUCCUGCUGCAGGGACAGCUGGACCUGUGUGAGCAGCACUGUGCCCUCCUCCUACAGUCUGAGGAGCACCACGAGACCGCCUCUGUGAUGAUGGCUGACCUGAUGUUUAGAAAACAAAAAUAUGAAGCUGCUGUCGAUCUCUACCACCAAGUCCUGGAGAAAGCGCCAGACAAUUUUGUGGUACUGAAUAAACUAAUUGAUCUGCUAUGGAGAAGUGGCAGACUUGAAGAUGCCCCUGCCUUCUUUGAAUUGGCCAAGAAGAUGUCCAGCCGCAUUCCUUUGGAGCCAGGCUUCAACUACUGCAGAGGCAUCUACUGCUGGCACAUAGGGCAACCCAACGAAGCACUGAAGUUCCUAAACAAAGCACGCAAGGACAGCUCGUGGGGCCAGAGUGCCACCUACUACAUGGUGCAGAUCUGUCUGAACCCAGACAACGAGAUCGUGGGCGGAGAGGCUUUUGAGAAUCUGGUGGCUGAGAGCAACUCCACCGACAGGAAGGGCUCAGAGCAGCAUGGUGUGCGCACCGCGGAGAAGCUGCUGCGUGAGUUCUACCCGCACUCGGCCCGGGGCCAGACCCAGCUGCGACUGCUGCAGAGUCUCUGCCUGCUGGCCACCAGGGAGAAGGCCAACGUGGAGGCGGCGCUGGGCACCUUCAUCGAGAUGGCGCAGGCUGAGAAGGAGAGCGUCCCCGCCCUGCUGGCCAUGGCACAGGCCUACGCGCUGCUGAAGCAGGUCCCCAAGGCGCGCACGCAGCUGAAGCGUCUCGCCAAGGCCCCGUGGGCGCUGGAUGAGGCCGAGGACCUGGAGAAGAGCUGGCUCCUGCUGGCGGACCUGUACUGCCAGGGCGGCAAGUUCGACCUGGCGUCGGAGCUGCUGCGGCGCUGCGUGCAGUACAACAAGUCCUGCUGCAAGGCCUAUGAGUACAUGGGCUUCAUCGUGGAGAAGGAGCAGUCCUACAAAGAUGCAGCCACCAACUACGAGCUGGCCUGGAAGUACAGUCAUCACGCCAAUCCUGGCAUUGGCUUCAAACUCGCUUUCAACUACUUGAAGGACAAGAGAUUUGUGGAGGCCAUUGAAGUCUGCCACCAUGUAAGCCACUGUUCUCAGAGAGCAUCCUAAUUACCCCCAAAUCAGAGAAGAAAUUUUGGAAAAGGCCCAAGGGUCUCUGAAGCCUUAGCUGUGACCCCCAGGGCUCAAGAAGAGACUCCUCACAGCAUCCUGCCCAGCUGGGACACAGACAGGACGACCAGCUCAGAAGGUCCCACAGCUGAGGCUGUGUGAGGGAGGCCAUCAUCCCAUAGGCUGUGGAGGCCCUUGGCUCACUCUGUCCAUACAUUCUGUCUCCUUCCCAGGUCCUCCGCUGGCCUCUGCUGCUCCUCACUGGUUUGGGACAAACCCGAUUACCCAUGACUGGUACAGCCCAAGAAAAAAAUAGCUCCCACUUCAGAUUUUCUAAAAGACACUGACCAACAGAUUUAUCCUCCAGAAACCUUUUUCACGCCUUGGAGGACAAAAGCAAUGGUCCCUAUUUAGAGGAAUUAUGUUACUUGUAACUGGCAAGAGAGUGGCAGAGGUCACUUUAGCUGCAGCUCCCACCACCUCUCUUCUUGUUUCUCAUGAUGCCAGUAACAGGCCCGGUUUGGCCUCAGAGGAAGGAACUCUGAACUGGGAGUUAGGACUGUGACCUUCCCAAGAGCUUCUGCUCUGUGGACUUCAGUGUCCCCCUCUGUGGUAGGAAAUUAGAUGAGAUGUGCCUGUCCCCAAAACCAUAAUACAAAUCCCUUCCAAUGAUAUACAGCAAAUAGUUUAUAGUUUAAUAGCCAUGUGUUUAAAAAUCAUUGUUACAUAAUAGAGAAAAAUAACUAGCAUGACAAAGUCAUGAAUUCAUGAGUGCUGUUACUCAGAAUGGUUCUAACUUUUAAGUAUAUCAAUAUAAUUGAUAUAAAGCAAAAUACUUAGUAUGAGUAGAAUACAGCAAAAUUUUCAAGAGAAGUUGUCCAGUGAUGACAGUUUGGGAACCGGACAGGUAGGGGUCGCGUUUAGAACAGACAGAAUUAUCCUUGGUGGUGGCUGAGCCUUGUCUUUGUAACACCCCGCUGACCACAUGGAUGGCCUCUUGAUCUGAGUCAGUCAUCUGGAAUGCUUUCCCCAGCUUACUACCAUCCUUCCUAUGGGAAACCGGUCCCCUUUACUAGCAUCUGCUUUACAAUCUGGUUUCUUGGGGUGGCUUGUUGAGAGACAGGUUUGUCUGUAUGGAGAAUGGUGCUGUAAAGGAUUAUACAUUAAUCACAUUUUUAUUACUGUAGAACCCAAA